rnacentral:tRNA from 1 species
GCCCCUUUAGCCCAAUUGGUAGAGGCGCAUGGCUUAGGACCAUGUCAGUGUGGGUUCGAAUCCCAUGGGGGGCA